rfam:Vibrio ezurae NBRC 102218 DNA, contig: VEZ01S52.
CCUUAGCUUAGUGAUAUCAGGGUCCAGCAGCAUAAAACCCCGACACUAUCGGGGUUUUUUGUUAUCUGCGGUUUAUCACUGCGGAUGUGUGCUUGGUAAAUGAAAUGGGCUUUAUGCCCUUUUUUU